rnacentral:rRNA from 1 species
AAAGGGUCCGCAGGCGGAUGUAUAAGUCAGUGGUGAAAUCCUAUCGCUUAACGAUAGAACUGCCAUUGAUACUGUACGUCUUGAAUUCGGUCGAAGUGGGCGGAAUGUGUAGUGUAGCGGUGAAAUGCAUAGAUAUUACACAGAACACCGAUAGCGAAGGCAGCUCACUAGGCCUGGAUUGACGCUCAGGGACGAAAGCGUGGGGAUCAAACAGGAUUAGAUACCCUUGU